AUAAUCUAUACAAAAUAUCUUUAAUAUAUCCAGGUAUAUUAACGCCACAAAAGUUAAGUGCAGACAAUUAAAAUUAAUCGGCAAGCAGUCCAUUACCCAUCAAUUUAAUGUGCCUUGAAGUUUAACAUGUUUAAAGAGUCACGUGUUUUCUCUUUAUGUUUACAAACACAGGAAAUCCCCACGCGGUUUCUAUGUCAAGGCUAAAAUUGUUUAUGUUAUAUUUUUGCUGCGGGUUGCACGGCGAAAGUCGGCAGGGGCAUCACUAUAUAAACUUGUGCAAUAAAAGUUAAAAUUUAUAUUAUUUUAUAUACUGACCAAAAGCAAAGGUCAAGAAUUUGAAAAUUAGGAAAUUUCCAGCUUCACUUAAAAGAGAGGUGUUAUGGAGAAACGGGAAAUGAGAGAAUUUUUGGGAAACACCCAACAUUAUAAUCCCGAAUCCAACAAUUUUAGUGCAGCAGAAGCUACAAAGGCUAAAUUCAGAUACAAAGGUGCACAUCAUAUGGGCUCAAAUCCAGACGCAGGAAUGAGGAAUCAUGAAGGAGGCCUUAAAUUGAACAUUUUCACUCAAUUUCGACGAUCAAGGUCCGAAAGUUGUGGAAGUGAAGGAGAACCCAAUUCACCAGUUGUAUCUACAUCAUGUGCAUUGCCACCAAUUCAUGCUAUAUUAUAAACCAGCGCAGAAUAUGAAAAUUGCUUAAACUAGCUCAGAUAUGUCAUAGUAGCGAUUGCAAUGUCAUGCCGAGCAAGUGUUCAAAUGUAACGGUAUUGUGUUCCGGACGCACCUUUCCGAUCAAAUUUUUAUUUGAAUAGUUUAAUGUUGUUAGAUGUAUAUAUACAUGUACAUACAUGCUCAUAUUUGUUAUUGUUUUGUUUAUACAAUGUUAUUCUAAAUAAAUUUUCUACAAAUUC